UUUAUUGGAGAGUUUGAUCCUGGCUCAGGACGAACGCUGGCGGCGUGCCUAAUACAUGCAAGUCGAGCGGACCUUUUAAAAGCUUGCUUUUGAAAGGUCAGCGGCGGACGGGUGAGUAACACGUGGGCAACCUGCCUGUAAGACUGGGAUAACUUCGGGAAACCGGAGCUAAUACCGGAUAAUAUAAGGAACCUCCUGGUUCUUUAUUGAAAGAUGGUUUCGGCUAU
rnacentral:rRNA from 1 species